rnacentral:rRNA from 1 species
GCUAACUGCGGGCCGGGGGGGGCGGAAAGACGGAGGUGGGUAGGGGUAGUCGGAAUUAUGGGGCGGAAAGGGAGCGCAGGCGUCCCGGGAAGUCAAAGGUGAAAUCCCUCGGCUCAACUGAGGAACUGCCUUUGAAACUGUCGGGCUUGAGGCCGGGAGGGGGUAGCGGAAUGCCCAGUGUAGCGGUGAAAUGCGUAGAUAUUGGGAGGAACACCGGUGGCGAAGGCGGCUACCUGGACCGGUUCUGACGCUGAUGCGCGAAAGCGUGGGUAGCAAACAGGAUUAGAUACCCGUGUAGUC